CCCUCUCUUGUUUUUCCCGCCUAUAUACCGCCGUCGUCAGCUUACCCUGUGAGGGACCCAUAGUAAGCAUAAUUGGUACAACCCAAAACGUCAGGUCGAGGUGUAGCUAAUGAGAGGGGAAGAAAUGGGCUACAUUUCCUACAGCAGGAAACACGGACAAUGUUCUGAAACGGACAUUAGAAGGAGGAUUUAGUAGUAAGCAGGAAACAGAGCGUUCCGCUGAAAAUGGCCCUAAAGCGCGCACACACCGCCCGUCACUCUCCCCAAGCUAACAAAAACCCAUACCUAAAAGCCCACAUCUGCAAAGGGGAGGCAAGUCGUAACAUGGUAAGUGUACCGGAAGGUGCACUUGGAAAAAU
rnacentral:rRNA from 1 species